CAGUCAUAUCACGUUGAAAUAUUGGUUUCCGUACGAUCUCCGAAGUUAAGCGACGUCGAGCUUGGUCAGUAGCUAGAUGGGUGAUCGCUUGCGAAUACCAGGGGCUGCAA